rnacentral:rRNA from 1 species
AGCUCCAAUAGCGUAUAUUAAAGUUGCUGCAGUUAAAAAGCUCGUAGUUGCAUUUCCGAGGCAAGGGAUUAGUCCGACCUUUGGUGGGUAUUUAAUCCUCUUGCCUCGUCCUUGAGUGGUGCUUCUUGGUAUUAAGUUAUCGAGGAGAUAGCCGCUCAUCGUUUACUGUGAGAAAAUUAGAGUGUUCAAAGCAGGCUUAUGCCGUUGAAUAUAUUAGCAUGGAAUAAUAAGAUAGGGCCUCGGUACUAUUUGGUUGGUUUGAGAACCAAGGUAAUGAUGAAUAGGGACAGUUGGGGGUAUUCGUAUUCAGUUGUCAGAGGUGAAAUUCUUAGAUUUACGGAAGACGAACUACUGCGAAAGCAUUUACCAAGGAUGUUUUCA